UGCUUUAUUUUUCCAACAUACGGCUGCAAAUGUACUUCAAACAUCAUCCUACCUCCAGCCAUGGCUGUAUCAUCAACCACUGGAAGAGUGUACAUCCCCCACCAAAGUUUCACUUCCUGAACCCCAAAAAUGGGACCAUCUUCUCAAAUUCCCUCUCCUUUGGUCCGAAAACACCUAGAAAUUUUUUUUCAUAAAGUGCUCCAGCGAUUUAUCAGCAGAGACUGGAUCAACAGACGUAGAAUCAGAGAGUUCCAUUGAAGUUCCCAAAGAACCACCAUCUUUGAUUUCUCCUCUUAAUGUGGAGAAGGCUCUUCGGGGCAUACGUAAAUUUCUGACCCAUUAAUCCUCACAUUCAAACUUCUAAGUUUCAACCUAAGUCGUGUUUGGUAAUAAAGGUUUGGUCUGCCAUGGGCAACCAUUACUGACGUAGAUAAUUAUGGUACACUUGGACUCCAAAGAGGAUGUUUUGAUGUUCAUAUGAUCAGGUCUAUGUUGCCUAUUACAACAAGAUUGAAGAACUGAAGGAUCAGGGUUUGGAUGAAGAGGAAUUGAGCAAGAAAAUGGAACAUCUUAAAGUUACUAUCCCACCCAUCCCAUUUUCUCUCUUAAACGGGUAAUCUGUGAAUGAUUUGAUUGUCCAUACUCCAUUUUGUCAUCCGUGGAAGAUAGAAACUGUAUCUGUAUGAUGGAAGCUUAGCGAGGAGCGAAAACCCAGAUAGUUAUCCUUGGACUUGUGAGGUCGACAUCACCCACCCAGAUCCUCACACAGACUCCUCAACUACCGGUAUGCACCUCAACUUUCCCACCUCUGUGUAGUCGGUAGACCAUACAGUUCAUAGAUAGAGCGAUAUUUAGUAGAAUGAACUGUGUUGGCAGGAACUAUAAAUCAUGUAACUGUAACGAGGGGAUAGGACGUUGGGCCAACAAGAUUGGUGGGAUAUGCGUGUUUAGGAUGGUUUCUAAUAUCUAUUUUCCUACCCUUGGUCUUCAAUUCAUUCUGUAAUCUGUAUGAAUGGAAGCCAUAGUUUUUGUUCCUGCUCUA